GACUCAAAUUGAGACUUCUAAUUGUUUCUUUCAUUGUAAUAAAAAUCGAAAAAUCUCAAUCAAAACUUCCUGAGGUAAAAAAAAAAAUAUUGAUGUGACGUAAUUGUAUCAAUUAUCUCGAAUGACGAAAAUAUCGUGAUAGCAAAAAGUUUUAUAUAUUCCAUUUGCGUCAUGUAUAUUCUUAUACUUAGAAUAGCCGUAAUAUCGCAGCCUGACACUGUUGCAAUAUUUAUCGUUAAUAAUAUCGUUUAUCGGCUCGCUUAAUAGCUAACAGAGCUUACUGAAAAAAAGUGCCUCCGUUUCGAAAAUAUACGGGAAUAAUAUACAAUGAUGAUGCACCCGCUUAUGCAAACGUGAGAUAUAAAUGCGGAGCGUAUUUGAGCGAGCAUACGUAGACGCGUGCAUAAUGCGAUGGAUGAAGUGCGCUCGUAUUGUGACAGUGGAAGAGAUGAACUAUGCAGUAUCCGCUUUUGUGGGAUGACAUUUGUGGAAUGACACGAUGCAUAUGUCCUGGAAGAUUGACGAAAUACGUCUCGAGAUGGUCCAUCAGAAACAGAUGCGCGUACAUGCACGCUUGGACAAUAGUUUCAAUUAAUACCUGAGUCAAUGUGUUCCAGGUAUGCAUGCAUUAAUCCGUACUUGGCCCAGUUUCGGUUACAGAUGUAAUCAAUCCAACUUGCCUCUACAUGCUACGAAAACUUAUUAUUAUUCUCGACUAAUAACUUUAUUUUAAAACAAUAUGUCUUUCUAAUUAAAUUACCGAAUUAUUAUUCUAUUAUAAAUCAAAAGCAAGAUCCAAACAAAUUUAUACGAAAUAUAAUAGAAGAUUUAAGUCGUUUCAUCAAUCGCAUUCCAACUUUUAAUAUUCUACAUUUUUACAUCUAAUACAAACAUAAAAUGUUUUACUUCCGGCAAUAAACCAUCCAUUGAUUAAUCCCGACCUUCGACACCUCGUCCGGCACUUGGUUGAGGAAAGGGGCGAGAAAGGAAGUUCAAGGAGGACGGCCUAAACUGCCAUAAUGCAUCCAGGCAUGCGAAUAGAUAUUUUUAACCACAUAGCCGAAGCCGAUCGAUAUGUACCACGGUGGUGAAGAUUUGUGUCUAAAUAAUUGCACCUUUACCCUCUUAACGUUAAAAGCAAAAACUGCAUUGAGUUCUUUGACGUCGCUUUUGCGUUAAAGGCACGAUAUUUGUUUCCUUUCAUCAAAGGAAUCUUAAGUCACACCUGGACCUUUUUUUAUGAUUAAUUCGUCCGAGAAACCGUGGAUAUAUCUUUAAUCACGUAAACGAUUCGUGAAAACAGAGUUUUCCGAAGCUAUAAAUAAUAACUCCAUUAAGAACGGGUUAACGAUCCUGUCAAUAAACAUUCAGUCACUAAGUUAAUGUUCUCGACAAACAUCACCGUUGUGUGGUGCUGAACAUUUCGUAACACAGAGAGAAGCGACGGGAAGGAAAAAUAAGCACUGGGAAAUCGCAAGAGUAGGUAACACGAGAUAUUUUAAACUCCAGCCAAGCAUCGAUCGAUGGCCAGGCCAUUACUGCUUAAAUUAUUGAAUCUUGCGGGACUAACCGAUACUCGAGGUACGAGCAUCGCUACGCAAGGAUGAGAGCGAAACGCAGCGGACACCACAGUGAUCGACGAGCUCUUUUUCAAAAAGUCGUCUCAUUUUUUUUCCUGUUCCUUUGUUUCCUUAACAUUUUUCUCCCUAUUGCCUGCCGCUCUCAGGGCGCCGGAGUCACGUUUAUCUCACCGCGACACGAAGCGACAACAAUGCAUUGCGCAAUAUUCGCCCGCGUAUUCCUGCGGCGAGGUAGCCUCGGAAUCGCACGCGACGUUCCAAAUGCCGCCUGCAUUGUCCGAGAUAGGACGAUCGCGAGAGUAACGUGGUUACAAACAACUGUGUCAACGGGAUUUUGCCGAUGGAGCUCUCAUAAUAUCUGUAUAUCGAGCCGUGUAUCGUCCGACGUACAAAUAAAUUGCUGAUACUACGUUGCGCACGUCCAUCAUGGUCCAUAUUGCUAAAUUAGUGUGUUAAAGAUUUGCCAAUUAUUGCUAAAUUAGUGUGUUAAAGAUUUACCAAUCUUAUAAUAAAUAAAAUUUAAAGCCCAAUUAUUUUCGCGAAUUUCGAUAGAAUUAAAUGAAGACUCUACUUUUUCCACUUAAUUUUAUUUUAUUCACAUAUUACGUAUAUUUAUGCAGAGUAAAUAUAGUGAACUAGAGUUUAGCAUCCUUCAUAGGAUACUCGAUUCCUCGAAUGAUGAAACUGAAGCGCAAUCAGUAUCAAUUGGGGAGAAACAAAUGUCAUGAAUAAAUACGAGAUGUUUGUCUUUCAGAAUGCUAGCCGUAAUAUUCUAACAGUACGACGUUAUUGACACACCGUUUUCUAGAAUCGUGUAAAAUAUGUCAAUAUGUCUGAAGUUAUGUUCUCAUCUCGAUAACACUUUUCUUUGACGCUACAAAAAAAAAUGUUUCUAAAGUUUUUGCACGGAAGCCUAUUAUUCUUCCAUAUGUCAGCAUAAAUAUAAAAUUUGAUAAUUUGAGGAGAUUUAUAAUACAAAGAAUUUCUUUAUGUAUUCGCAUACAUAAUAAUAUACGACGUGUCAUAUUAUUGUCUUUCUCGUAUGAAAUAUUUGUUAUUGAUAAAAUUGAUACGAAUCGUGUGCAAAAUACGCAAUAGUCUGGAAUAGUAUUAUUGAUGGAUAAAACAUGUUGACUAUAGCUGUUAUUUUGUCUCACAAUCUCUUGGAAACAGACCUUUAUAUUAAAAUGUAUGACAUUUCGUGCUGCACUCUGUAUAGACGUAGGUAUAGCGAACACUUAUUUCUUAUAGAAGCAAGCCCGUUCGACGUCAUUCACGUGUGACGUUCUAUGUUACAAGGCCUCCCCUUUUAUUUUCUUUCAAAAUUUCGACUUUCGGGAAGAAUAAUUUCGUAAUCAGUCAUGACAAUUCGAACAAGAACCAAAAAGGGUAGGAAAGAAAUUCGCGAAAACAAAGGGUGGAAAACGAGAGGAGGCACGCGAGAAACAGGGAAAAAAAGAAAAUGCGCGGGAGUUAACCACGCACGUAAAGUCGUCAGUCCUUCCUCCCCUCCGCCAUCCCAACGCUUCGUUGAGCUUGCACUCGCAGAACUUUCGGUUCGCUGGAGCGCAUCAAAGCCGAGCUUUUCACCUACGGAUGGGUUAGCCUGCGUCUGACGCGCACUCCCGGAAUGGGCAUCGCCCAGUUUUCGUUCGCUAUUUCUCAACCGAGAUGAUACCGAAAAUAAAAGCUCACUAUUGUUUCCAAUAUCCGAAAGCGUUAGAUGUUUAUCCGUCAGCGAAUUUUCGCCACAUUCGCUGAUAAAUUGUGUCUUCGCUUAUUCAAAAUGUAACAAUGGAAUUGAGUUUUUCCUAAAUUUCAGUUUAUUUUUUGUUAAUAUGUAUAAUACUGUCUGUUUCGCAAACCUAAAUCAAAGAUUUUGUAUCUAUUGCAAUUAUUAGUGUAUUCAUCAUUGCAACAAAUCGAUCGACACAUCAGAAACAAGUAAAUUUUCGGAGAAAUACCGAGAAAUAUCGAUACAAUAAGUACACGGAGAAUUUUUUCUUAAAAAUUAUCCUAAAAAUUAUGAUAAUUGUGAGUAAACGUAAACUUUGAAGAAUUUUAUUUUACUUGUAACAAAAUUUACUAAAAUUUUAGUAAAUUUUACUAUACUUCUAACAAAUAUUACUAAAACUUUGCCAAAUUUUAUUAAAAUUUUCGUAAAUUUUGUUAAAAAUAUAGUAAAAUUCUUCAAGGUUUACGAUGUUUCACAAUUACAACGGUUUUAAGAAUAAUUUUUAAGAGAACAUUCUGUCCGUGUAAAGACAUUUUCGCAAAGCAUUGUUUUAUGCAAUCCGUCAACAUUUGUAGUUUGAAUGAAAAUUAUUAUUAAAAAACUUUGUAUUUUCUUCAAAAAGCACUGUCCCCUUCUGCAGAAAUUGAUCCGAUCUAGUCGAUAUCUGAUUUCUCCUGUCAUGGAUAGUCUCGGUGUACAAUUACGAGAACUCUCUACGUCUGUAUAAGAGAUUUGAAAGGUGAAAAGUAAGUAUAAAAGAGAGGAUAUCGAGAUGUCGAAGAAAAAGAAAUACAUAAUAAAACACGUAAUAAGACACGAUUGCAAUCCUUUGCUUGAUUAAUAUUUUUAUAUGUUUAAGUUUUCUUUAAAAAAAAAAAUAUCUUAAUUCGUCAGAAUAUAAAUAACUUUAGAAGUCUGAAGGGUGUUUUUACAAUAUUAAGUAUUUUUUAUUAAAUUCUUCUGAAUGUAUAUGCUUUAUUGGGAAUUAUAUUGAAUAUUAAAGAUGUGUUCAAAGAAAUAAUUAUGUACUUAUCGGAUACACAGCCAGAAGAAACUGUAUAUUUUGAUAAAUUUCAAUUAGCAAUGUGUAUUUUUUUUUAAUAAAAAUCUCAAGAUUAAAAUUAUAACUCUAUUUGAUGUAUUACAAAAUAUUGCAAAAGAUAUCGCAAAAUCAGUAGAAUUCGAGUCAGUAUAUAUGAAGAAGCUUUCGACUUGAAAUUAUGACAAUCUUUUCUUAUAUAGUAUAAUGUCUCCUCUUGAGUAGCUCUGAUCUUUUGUCUUAUUCAAGUUUCCGUUCUCCUCCAGGCAAUGCACGCUUUCAUUUCAGAAGCGACUGUUUGUCAGAAUACCGAGAGAUUAAAUUUUAGAAUGCCCCAGACCAUUGUCAUUCUUCUUCUUUACCUAUAAUCAUUCUACCAUCACCGUCGCUGGUUCGAUGCAUUCGUAUGAAUUCUAUAAUAAAUUUUGAAUUAUAUCAAAAAUUCAAAGACACUUAUUAUACCUCGUGUCAUAUAUUUACAAAAAGUAAUUAAUAAAUAUGAAAUAUAGAUGAAUAAACGUAAAAAAACUAUAAUAAGUAGAAAACACAGAUUUCAGUUUUAGUUUAUAUAAUAUAUAAUGAUUUCUUUUCUACCGUUUUUUAUAAAAUUAAAUAAUUAAAAGAUUAGUUUUGAGAGCUUUCGAAAUAUUUUCUCAUUUUGAAUUCCAUAAACGUAUGUGUAUUACAAAUAUUACUUACAAUGCUUCUUUCGCGUAAAAUGUUACUUUUACGCCGUAAUAAAGAAUCUAUUUUAAAAGAAAUUCGCCAGAAUAUAAAAUAGCUGAAUUGAAUAAAUUAUUUCGUUUGAGCCUUUGGAAAUUGAUUAAGAAUGCAGUGGUCUUCUCCAAAGCAUCUCUUUAAAUAUUAAUAUUUUCUUUUGUAGCUUACGGUAAUUAAUCGCGAGCAAUUAUUUAAAGGGAAAGGGCAAAAAACGUAUUGUUAUAUUAAAUUAUAAAUAAAAAUCCUUAUCUAUUUUUAAUAUUUUUAACAAGUGUUAAGUGAUAAUUUUAAUUCCUAUUAUACAUUAAAAUAUUAAAACUACAUUUAUACGUAUAUAUUAAUUCAUCAUUCUCAAUUUCUACAGCAAUAAUUCUUCUAAUAUAAAUAAUUGAAUAGUGUGACUUUCAAAACCAAAAUAAUUAAUUUUAUUAUAUUAAAGUUAUAAUUACUCUUGCUAAUUACUAAAGUAAGAAGUUUAUUUUCAUGAAAUUAUCUCUUUCGCGUGGCUUUCAUCGUAUUAAUUAAUUUUAUUCUGUAAUAAAAUUAAUUUUUGUUCUCAUGUUACAUUUCCAAUUAUUGCAUGAAACUUUUGCCGAACUCCUAUACCGAAAAUUGUACAUAUUCUAAAAUUAUUUUAGUUUAAAGAUUUUAAACUCAGUAUACCUAUUGUGCAACAUACUGCCAAACUCUGCAUAGAGAAUUAGUUCCGAAUGGAAGCAUUGAAGAAAAUAUUUCAUUAAAGGAUAAUUUCAAAUAUAUGUUUACUAUAUACGAAUAGUUAAAUUUCUUCUCUUCCGUGUGUAUUGUGCAAAGAUCUUCGCACAGUUCACAUAGUAAAAUCUCAGAAGCACGUCGUCUGGUGAAAUUGGAAAUUCGCUCGAAAAAUCAACUGGAAAUUGGAUUCGGCCGUUGGCCAACGUUUCCCGAAACUUUUCAGCUUGCAACAAAACAUGGGUCUAAGCAACUAAAAGGACUGAGUCACCAUAAAUUGGUGACGUAAGAUUGCGUCUAGAAGCGGUUAAUUACGGAGAUGUAAGAAGGAAGUUUGCGGCGGCGAUAUUAAUAAUUAUCAUACGUAGGAAGUACAACGUAACGUAGUUACUCAGAAACAGCUGGAAUGUUUUGUCGGAUGCGUAUGUAAAUGGGUCUGAGAUAUUAUCUCGACGAUCAUUUGUACUGCUACGUGACUACUGCAGCUUUGUUAGAAAGAAUUCCUAUUGAAAUUUUAAAUAUUAGCGACCUUUUCUAAAUAACUUCUUAUUUUUAAUUUAUAUGCUUACAUUUCUCGUGCAUUAAAGAUUAAAAAAUGUAUUUUUUUAAUAUUUGUAGUAAUUGUGUUAUACAGCGAUUAUUUAUUUAAUGCGUGAUUAUUUAUUUAAAAACAUCUCAAUUGUCUGCUUUGUUUAGUAUUUUUCACAUUAUAAAUUAUAUUAUUACUAAUUGAGAAAAAGUGUUAAUUAUCAUAAAUAAAUACUGUUCAAGAUUUUCA
rnacentral:lncRNA from 1 species